rnacentral:lncRNA from 1 species
GUCCAGAGCCAGAUACUAAGUGCUGGGAAGUGGAACAGGAGACUGUACCAUUGCCUGAGUCGAUGAGACCACAUGAAGGAUAAGGAAGAAAAAAUACUGGAUUCAGGAGAAACAAUCAAUUAAAUUAAACUGUGAGCCUCUAACAUGCACAGCAGAAAGGGCAAUGGGAUUGUUGUCAUCAUCACAGUGGAAGGGGAACUCUCAAGGAGCAGACACAAGAUUCCCUCUGCUGAAAUCUAAAAGGUGUUUCUGAAGAACUUCUGAAUUGGGAGCCCUGAGAUGCAGAGGCCACCUUCACGCUCAGAAUUUGUCUUGGUUCAAGCUGGGGGUGGAGCAUCCAAAAGACAAUUCAACAGCGACAAUCCUGAAGGCCACAAACGGCCGUGGGCCAUCAACAUCUUCACAUCCAUCACCCCAUUAGAGAUGGAUGGUGGUCCUGAGAAGGGAGGCAGCUCUGAUCCACCGUGUCACUCAGGGUCCCAGGUUCCUUCUACCAUGCUGCUUCAUCUGCCCCUGAGGUGUUCUUGUCAGAGCUCAGCACCACCACCAGCAACUUCCUUUUAAGUGAUUCUACUAUGGACCCAAUUCUACUAUGGACACUGAGGAACUGUCCCUCUGAUGGACAGGAGGCUGGGACAUUCAUCCACUGACUCCCAUGUUCCAUUGCUUGAGGACUCUGCCUGGGGGCAUUAGCUCCCCUACCUGCCUGAGGGCAGAAAAGUAGAAAGAGAAGUUUCUUUUCCAGGGUCUCUGGGGACUCCAGUCUGGGAUUGGGCUCUCAACUCAGGAAGAAGGUGGCACAAGCAACCCUCCCACAGAGGAGCCUGGUAACCAUUGUUUGGCCAGAAUAACAAUGGCUGCCACUUACUGAAUGUAUCCUUUACUCAGGUAGGGAAACAGCUCAGAGAGGUUAAUUAACUUGCCCAGGGUAGUCAGUUGAAAGUGACAGGGCCAGAGAUCCAAGCAAGUCCAUCUGCAUCCCGAACCCAUAUUCAUAUUCUCUCCUUUUUUUAAUUUUUUAAAGACAAGGUCUCUGUCACCCAGGCUGGAGUGCAGUGGCGCAAUCAAAGUUCACUGCAGCUUUGAACUCCUGGGCUCAUGUGAUCCUCCUUCCUCAGCCUCCCAAGCAUCUGGGACUACCGGUGUGUGCCACUGAGCCCAGCUAAUUUUUUUUAUUGUUUGUAGAGACAAGGUCUCACUAUGUUGCCCAGUUUGGUCUUGAACUUCUGGAUUCAAGCAAUCCUCUCAUUGUGCCCCCACCCCUCACCCCCAAAGUGCUGGCAUUACAGGUGUGAGCAACAUGCUGGCCCCCAGUCCAUAUUCUUAACCAUUACAUUGCCCUGAGUCUUGCAGGAUGGAUGACAACAGCCCUCCAUGGCUAGCAAGAGUACCCAAGAAUGCAUUAAACAGGUAAGCCGGUCAGAGUGUGUGGGUUAUUCAAGUAUGCAUCAACAGUCCCUUGUUCAGUAAAUAAAUCCAUUCAUUGAUACUUAUUUUUUUUUUGAGACAGGGUCUCACUCUGUCACUCAGAUUGGAAUGCAGUGGUGUAAUCAUGGCUCAUUGCAGUGUCGAACUCCUGAGCUCAAGCAUUCCUCCUACCUCAGCCUCCCAAAGUGCUGGGAUUACAGGCAUGAGCCACUGCGCCCAGCUCAUUGAUAUUUAUUGAAUGCCUCCUAUUUGUCUGGCCCUGGGGAUGGUGGAGCGAAGAAGAAAAACUGAAUCUUGGCUCUCAUGGAGAGGAUGGGGGAGAGCGUUAGCACCAGCAACAGUGACCUCACACAGUGAGGGCACUGGGAAGGAAAUAAAAGAGGCAACACAGAGUGAUAGUGACACAGGAGAGUGGACUGGAAAGGCCGUCCUGAGGAGGAGACAUUUGGCUCAGCCGUGAAUGGCACACUACUUCUACGUGGUGGGGAAAAUGGCACUUGGAAAAUUCAGUUUCAAUGGUCCUUUCAGAGCUACAGCAUCUGUCUCUCAAUGUCUAUGUUAAUUCCUCUAAAAGGACUCAGACCUGAUGUGGCUCCCAGCCUUCUUGGACCCCUCCUAUCUGUGGUACUGAUGGGUACAGAACUCACACACCCUACCCUGGGUGUGAGUAAGAGCAUGGGCCUUGUAAUCUUGGCUUGUUUGGAAAGAGGAAGGGGAAAUUCCAGAAGUGAAGGUCAUAACAGUUUUCUGUCAGAUGGGGUGGUGGCUCAAAGCAGAGGUUAUGAGCCUGAGUAUGUAGCUCCAUCACCCAGUGUGAACUUGGGCAAGUCCUUACCUUUUCCCCUCUGCAUCCUCUCCAUCCACUUCCCUCACUGACAUUCCAAAACACACACACACACAUACACACACACACACACACACACACAUUUUUAUUUUAAGACAAUUGUUGAUUCACAUGCAGUUUUAAGAAAUGCUAGAGAUCACAGACCAGGCACAGUGGCUCAUGCCUGUAAUCCAGGCACUUUGGGAGGUCGAGGCAGGUGGAUCACUUGAGGUCAGGAGUUCGAGACUAGCCUGGCCAAUGUGGCGAAACCCCAUCUCUACUAAAAAUACAAAAAUUAGCUGGGAGUGUUGGCAUGCACCUGUAAUCCCAGCUACUCAAGUGGCUGAGGCAGAAGAAUUGCUUGAACAUGGGAAGCGGAGGUUACAGUGAGCCGAGAUCGCACCACUGCACUCCGGACUGGGCAACAGAGUGAGACUCUGUCAAAGAAUGAAAGAAAGAAAAAGUAAUAAUAGAGAUCACAGAGCACUUUACUCAACUUUCCCCAUAGUAACAUCUUGCAUACAUGUAGUACAAUAUCACAACCAGGAAAUUGACAUUGAUACCAUCCACCAAUCUUAGAUUUUGCCAGCUUUACAUGCACUCAUGUGAGCUUGUUUGUGUGUUUAGUUCUAUGUAGUUUCAUCAUGUGCACAGAUUUGUGUGGCCACCGCCACAGUCAAGAUCUACCACCAAGAGGUCUGUUGUGCUGUCCUUUUAUUGCAACAUCUACCUGCCUCCCUCCCCUACUCUCUGAUCUGCAGCGAUCAUUAAUCUGGUCUUCAUUUAUAAUUUUGUAAUUUCAAGAAUGCUAUAGAAAUGGAAUCAUACAGUAGGUAACCUUUCAGGCCUGGCUUUUUCUUUCACUCAGCAUAAUUCCCUUGAGAUCCAUCCAAAUGGUUGCAUGUAUCAAUAGCUUGUUCCUUUUUAUUGCUGACUAGUAAUUCAUAGUAUGGAUGUUCCACUGUUUAACUGUUUGCUUUUUGAAGGACAUUUGGAUUGUUUCCAAUUAUUGGCUGUUAUGAAUAAAGCUGCUAUGAACGUUCAUGUACAGGCUUUCGUGUGAAUGUAAGUUUUC